rnacentral:rRNA from 1 species
UGGGGAAUAUUGGGCAAUGGGCGCAAGCCUGACCCAGCAACGCCGCGUGAGGGAAGAAUGUCUUCGGAUUGUAAACCUCUGUCCUUGGGGACGAAAAAAAUGACGGUACCCAAGGAGGAAGCUCCGGCUAACUACGUGCCAGCAGCCGCGGUAAUACGUAGGGAGCAAGCGUUGUCCGGAAUUACUGGGCGUAAAGGGUGCGUAGGCGGCAUGGCAAGUCAGAUGUGAAAUCCCCGGGCUUAACUCGGGUGGUGCAUUUGAAACUGCCAAGCUUGAGUGCAGGAGAGGAAAGCGGAAUUCCUAGUGUAGCGGUGAAAUGCGUAGAUAUUAGGAGGAACACCAGUGGCGAAGGCGGCUUUCUGGACUGUAACUGACGCUGAGGCACGAAAGCGUGGGGAGCAAACA